UGCGUAGGCGGAUUAAUAAGUCAGUGGUGAAAUCUUUCGGCUCAACCGGGAAACUGCCAUUGAAACUGUUAAUCUUGAGUUAGGUUGAGGUAGGCGGAAUGUGUAAUGUAGCGGUGAAAUGCUUAGAUAUUACACAGAACACCAAUUGCGUAGGCAGCUUACUGGACCUACACUGACGCUGAGGCACGAAAGCGUGGGGAGCGAACAGGAUUAGAUACCCUGGUAGUCC
rnacentral:rRNA from 1 species